AGCUUCGGAUUUCAGAAUUAAAGGUGGCCCCUACAUGUAAGCUACUGUUUGGAGAUGAGCCCGCGUACCAUUAGCUUGUUGGUAGGGUAAUGGCCUACCAAGGCUACGAUGGUUAGCUGGUCUGAGAGGAUGAUCAGCCACACUGGAACUGACACACGGUCCAGACUCCUACGGGAGGCAGCAGUGAGGAAUUUUGCGCAAUGGGGGAAACCCUGACGCAGCAACGCCGCGUGAGUGAUGAAGGCUUUAGGGUCGUAAAGCUCUGUCAAGUGGGAAGAAACUGUUUGAUGCUAAUAUCAUCAUACACUGACGGUACCACUGAGGGAAGCACCGGCUAACUCCGUGCCAGCAGCCGCGGUAAUACGGGGGGUGCAAGCGUUAUUCGGAAUCAUUGGGCGUAAAGAGCGCGUAGGCGGCUUUUUAAGUCAGAUGUGAAAGCCCGGGGCUCAACCCCGGAAGAGCAUUUGAAACUAAGGAGCUUGAGUAUGGGAGAGGGAAGUGGAAUUCCUGGUGUAGAGGUGAAAUUCGUAGAUAUCAGGAGGAACACCGGUGGCGAAGGCGACUUCCUGGACCAAUACUGACGCUGAGGCGCGAAGGCGUGGGGAGCAAACAGGAUUAGAUACCCUGGUAGUCCACGCAGUAAACGGUGAACACUAGGUGUAGCGGGUAUUUACCCCUGCUGUGCCGCAGCUAACGCAUUAAGUGUUCCGCCUGGGAAGUACGACCGCAAGGUUAAAACUCAAAGGAAUUGACGGGGCCCGCACAAGCGGUGGAGCAUGUGGUUUAAUUCGACGCAACGCGAAGAACCUUACCUGGAUUUGACAUCUCCCGAAGUUCUGAGAAAUCGGAAUGUGCCCGUCAGGGAACGGGAUGACAGGUGCUGCAUGGCUGUCGUCAGCUCGUGUCGUGAGAUGUUGGGUUAAGUCCCGCAACGAGCGCAACCCCUAUCUUUAGUUACCAUCAUCCAGUUGGGGACUCUAAAGAUACUGCCCCGGUUAACGGGGAGGAAGGUGGGGAUGACGUCAAGUCCUCAUGCCUUUAUAUCCAGGGCUACACACGUGCUACAAUGGGCUAUACAAAGGGUUGCGAGCUCGCGAGAGUUAGCUAAUCCCAAAAAGUAGUUCUAAGUUCGGAUUGGAGUCUGCAACUCGACUCCAUGAAGCUGGAAUCGCUAGUAAUCGUGGAUCAGCAUGCCACGGUGAAUACGUUCCCGGGCCUUGUACACACCGCCCGUCACACCAUGAGAGUUGGUUGUACCAGAAGUUGUUGGACUAACCU
rnacentral:rRNA from 1 species